AACAGUUGGUAGGUCCCCAAGUCAACCAUCAUGAAAAGAAGAAAAUAAUACACAAGCCAAGAAGCAAAACUUGUUUCUGUUACUCGCUACCCCCCCCCAAAGCUGCGGCUCUCAUGUGUCAUUUUAAAGCCAACCGAUGAAGCCCAAUGUCAAAAGGGAAUACUCAUUGGCCCACAAAAAAGAAAACCUAAACCUCCCGCAAAUAAAAUAUAUAAAUAAAGUAAAAAUCUAUUACAAUUAAAUGCCUUCAGCUUCUCAAGCGGGCCCCACGUACGACAAAUCCUCUAAAUUCUGAUUUUAAGCACUUUACAGCAUCCAAUCCUGCAAUUAGCAUCAAAGCGAAAUAUCAGUAGAAUCCACCCAAAUAGUGAAAAUAUUUAAUCAAUUAGUUGUGCAAUAAUACCCAAAAUACCCACUAAAAUGCAACCUAUCA
rnacentral:lncRNA from 1 species